UACGGAGGGUGCAAGCAUUGAUCGGAAUUACUGGGCGUAAAGGGCGCGUAGGCGGUAGAAUAAGUCGGAUGUGAAAUUCCGGGGCUCAACCCCGGAGCUGCAUUUGAAACUUUCGGACUUGAGGUUAGUAAGGGAAAACGGAAUUCCACGUGUAGCGGUGAAAUGCGUAGAUAUGUGGAAGAACACCGGUGGUGAAGACGGUUUUCUGUGCUAAACCUGACGCUGAGGCGCGAAAGCUAGGGGAGCAAACAGG
rnacentral:rRNA from 1 species